CCUACGGGAGGCAGCAGUGGGGAAUUUUGGACAAUGGGGGAAACCCUGAUCCAGCCAUGCCGCGUGAGUGAAGAAGGCCUUCGGGUUGUAAAGCUCUUUCAGCCGGAACGAAACGGUCACGGCUAAUACCUGUGACUACUGACGGUACCGGAAGAAGAAGCACCGGCUAACUACGUGCCAGCAGCCGCGGUAAU
rnacentral:rRNA from 1 species